GACGAACGCUGGCGGCGUGCUUAACACAUGCAAGUCGAACGCUGAAGCUCAGCUUGCUGGGUGGAUGAGUGGCGAACGGGUGAGUAACACGUGAGUAACCUGCCCUCUUCUUUGGGAUAACGCCCGGAAACGGGUGCUAAUACUGGAUAUUCACUGAUUCUCGCAAGGGGGUUGGUGGAAAGGUUUUUUCUGGUGGGGGAUGGGCUCGCGGCCUAUCAGCUUGUUGGUGGGGUGAUGGCCUACCAAGGCUUUGACGGGUAGCCGGCCUGAGAGGGUGACCGGUCACAUUGGGACUGAGAUACGGCCCAGACUCCUACGGGAGGCAGCAGUGGGGAAUAUUGCACAAUGGGCGAAAGCCUGAUGCAGCGACGCCGCGUGAGGGAUGGAGGCCUUCGGGUUGUAAACCUCUUUCGCUCAUGGUCAAGCCGCAGCUUUGGGUUGUGGUGAGGGUAGUGGGUAAAGAAGCGCCGGCUAACUACGUG
rnacentral:rRNA from 1 species